GAAGCUUUCUCGAUGCUAUCGGCAUACUGUACCACUCUGCGUUAUACCUGCAAAUUUUGCAAGAAAUCUUAGUGAAAUUACACGCUGCCGAUGAUCUGCGACAAUAUUCAUCUUUACAUAAUGGACAAAUGUUAAUGUCAUGAUUACCAUUCCACGUUGAUAUCUGGAAAAGAUCACCAAGUCGUUACAAAAUUCCUAAAAUGGGGACUAUCUUAAAAUCGAGUUUCAAUAUUCGCAUCGGGGAUGUUUGGUAGACUAUCGCUAUUGAAUUAUUUCGCAUCUUCGUGAUGCGACAUACCCUAUCGCCUGGAAAAGACUGCAAGCGUGUUGCAUUGCUUUUUCUACAUUUGUGUAUAAUUGAACCAUGAAAUUAUUAAUCAGCGAUUCGUCAAUGUACAAACCAGCAAACAAAAUUGGCUGAAAAUGAUGAACACGAGUCGAAUAGAGAGGAAGAAUCUUUUGAAGGCAGACUAUGUUCCGGCCAUUGACCGAUCCACGACAUAAAGGCUGAUUGAUUUUAUAAUGCUGCGCGUCCAUCUUGACUCGCUUCCGAAAAUUAGAAUGCAUCCGCAGCAGAUAGUAAAUUUUUCUUGACGGCGACUCAAACAUAAAUCUUCUCUGCUUAUUUCGUAUUCUCUAAGUAAAUAUCUACGUAUAACGGUAGACAGAAAUUACGUGGCUGAUGUCGGUGUGUUAGGCACGAUCGAUUUCUCAACGAAUAUAAACUACAUUACUAUGAAGAAGCACAAAGAAGAAAGUUAGAUUCGUUUUAUUUUAAAACUCUGUUGCGAGAAGAGUUGUAAAGUCUAUAUCACAAUUUUAUUGUGCUUGCUUUUCUUCAAUGAAUACACGGAAUCUUCAGCUAAGUAAAAAUAAACGCGAUAUAAACAAUACCAACAUGUAAUGUUACAUUAUUCGUUAAAUACUGGAAUAUUUUUAUUUUUAAUAUAAGAAGUUGUUUUCUAGUUAUUUUUAAGAUAUUAACAUUAACAUCUUAUAAUACACCUGGUUUAUUUGAAUAAGUUUAAAGAGCUAUUUAUAAUUCCUACUACAAUAUAACGAUAUAUAUAGAAGGUGUCAGGUAAUAAUCGUUAUCUCUCGUAGGUUAAAUUAAAAAAAAAAGUUUUUCGCCACUUUGUAAACUUUGAAAUUAAUAAAAAAUAUAUUAAUUAAUAAGGCUGGACAAAUCAGCGUAAAUACGCGCAAUGUGGUGAUAAGAGACGGCCUAAUAUUUAAAUACAUGCGUUUCUAAAUUGCUAGAAGUGCGGCGAGAGGUGCAAGAAAGUGUAACAGAUUUGUAAAGAAAUAGAGUAUUAUAAAAAAAUUAAGUAGUAUGAAAAAACAAAA